GCCUCAGUCUUUCGCCGUGUCUCGCCGUCCCUCGCCAUCGCACGCCAUCGCACGCCACCGCACCCCUUCUCUCGAAAUCUGUAGACAUCUUGAUUUUUCCCACGCUGUCUGUCAGGUCUCCGCCGCCACUCGACGCCAGGGCGCCGGGUGAGUCCACAGCAGGGCGCGUGGUCUGCUCCACUCUCACCAUCGGGGGAAACUGAGGCCCCGGGGAAGGCGGCCAGAGAGAUCAGGCCCGGUCCCUGGUGCAGUGCCUCGUCCUCUUUGCCGGAGUGAGCUCCCCAGGAUUCGCGUGUCCUCGGGAAAACACUGGCGGGCCUUGUGGGUUGUGCUGCUCCUCGGACGGCUUCGCACCAGCCAGCGCCCCCUCUCUCCUGCAGCACUCUGAUCUGCACCCCCUGAGGGGCUUCCACUGUCCGCGGGGUGAGAAUGCCCCUGGGAGUGUCACAUGACUGUCACCCCAUGUGUGUGAGAGGUGUCCUCUGGGAGAGCAUGGACCCUGAGGUCCCAGGAUUGUCAGCUGACCUCUGUCCUGUGUGCCCAGUGGCCCCAGGU
rnacentral:lncRNA from 1 species